GAGACAGCAGCCGCCGCGGUAAUACGGAGGGUGCAAGCGUUAAUCGGAAUUACUGGGCGUAAAGCGCACGCAGGCGGUCUGUCAAGUCAGAUGUGAAAUCCCCGGGCUUAACCUGGGAACUGCAUUUGAAACUGGCAGGCUAGAGUCUUGUAGAGGGGGGUAGAAUUCCAGGUGUAGCGGUGAAAUGCGUAGAGAUCUGGAGGAAUACCGAUGGCGAAGGCAGCCAUCUGGCCUAACACUGACGCUGAGGUACGAAAGCAUGGGGAGCAAACAGGAUUAGAUACCCGCGUAGUCCCUGUCUCUUAUAC
rnacentral:rRNA from 1 species